UGGGAUGUAGCUCAGUUGGUAGAGCACCGGUUUUUGAUACCGUAGGUCGAAGGUUCGAGUCCUUCCAUCCCAGCCA
rnacentral:tRNA from 2 species